rnacentral:rRNA from 1 species
GUGGGGAAUAUUGGACAAUGGGCGCAAGCCUGAUCCAGCCAUGCCGCGUGAGUGAUGAAGGCCCUAGGGUUGUAAAGCUCUUUUGUCCGGGAAGAUAAUGACUGUACCGGAAGAAUAAGCCCCGGCUAACUUCGUGCCAGCAGCCGCGGUAAUACGAAGGGGGCUAGCGUUGCUCGGAAUCACUGGGCGUAAAGGGCGCGUAGGCGGACUUUUAAGUCGGAGGUGAAAGCCCAGGGCUCAACCCUGGAAUAGCCUUCGAUACUGGGAGUCUUGAGUUCGGAAGAGGUUGGUGGAACUGCGAGUGUAGAGGUGAAAUUCGUAGAUAUUCGCAAGAACACCGGUGGCGAAGGCGGCCAACUGGUCCGAAACUGACGCUGAGGCGCGAAAGCGUGGGGAGCAAACAGGAUUAGAAACCCGUGUAGUCC